rnacentral:rRNA from 1 species
GACGAACGCUGGCGGCGUGCUUAACACAUGCAAGUCGUACGAUGACCCGGCUCUUCGGAGCUGGUGAUUAGUGGCGAACGGGUGAGUAACACGUGGGUGACCUGCCCUGCACUCUGGGAUAAGCCCGGGAAACUGGGUCUAAUACUGGAUACGACCAGUGGCCGCAUGGUCUGCUGGUGGAAAGCCCUUCGGGGUGGUGUGGGAUGGGCCCGCGGCCUAUCAGCUUGUUGGUGGGGUGAUGGCCUACCAAGGCGACGACGGGUAGCCGGCCUGAGAGGGUGUCCGGCCACACUGGGACUGAGACACGGCCCAGACUCCUACGGGAGGCAGCAGUGGGGAAUCUUGCACAAUGGGCGAAAGCCUGAUGCAGCGACGCCGCGUGAGGGAUGACGGCCUUUGGGUUGUAAACCUCUUUCGGCAGGGAACAAGCCUGGGGGUUUUCUUCUGGGUGAGGGUACCUGCGGAAGAAGCACCGGCUAACUACGUG